rnacentral:lncRNA from 1 species
GUCUGUGGGUCUAUGCGGGGGAGUCUCUUAGGACCACCCAGAUUCUCAUACAUCUGGAUCUUGCUCACUCGUGACAGAGCCUGAUAUUUGCGGUUGCAAUACAUGGAGUGCCACUAGGGCAAUCUACUUAGCAACGCACAGACUUGUGCUAUGAUAGAAAUACCAGUGCUGAAUUUUCCUCAAAUCACUGUGCACCAACCACAAAGCUGUCUGCUAUUUUUGACCGCUUUUAAUUGCUCUGAACACUGGCCGCACCUCUCUUUUUAAAUCAGAAUGGCAGCUACCACACAAGGGGCUACGUGAGCUGUUGUUGCCUUUCACACACUUCAGGGGGCGCAGUGGAGUUUGGCAGAAGUUUAUAAAGGUCAAAAAGAAAAAGGAGACGAAUUCAAACUGCACGACGGCAAACAGAGCUUCCCGAGGAGGAAUCCAUUGCUCAUCCUGAAACCAAGCCCAGGACACUCACUGCUUGCCAGGUAUGGGCCCAGUUACAUUCGAGCUCCUUCAACUCACGCCUGGGAGCAUCAGCGGUAAGUCACUGGUACGCACUGGUUCUUUGAAUACCAAGGAGCAUUUCAUUCUCAGUGGCAGUAGUAGGUUGGGUGCUUGGAGGUCAGAAUCACUGCUGGGUUUUUUUGCUUUGUGUUUUUACAUUUCAUUUACAAACACUUACCUUCUGUAGCUCAGGGCCAGACAACACACCGCCAG